GGGAGGUGCUGACAGAAUGGGAAGAGGAGACAAGAGGUAAAAUAACCAGGUACCUGGUUUGUAGUGUACCUAUUGUGCUGUUUGUAGCACAAAGACAAGAGUGCAUGUGUGCACAUGUGUGUGUGAGAGAGAGAGGAGAAGCUGACUUUGGGAGAGCGGAGGGGCUGUCUUUCCUUUCCUACAGGCACUCAUCUAGUCUCUGUUUUGUUUCAGUUUGGAGGAAUCCCAGAGCAGCGGCUUUGUUCCUUACUUUUUCAGGAUAGACCGGGGAAAUAUCAAGUCCCAGAGAACUGCUGCAUCCAGCACAUGCCACCCAGGUGGUGGGUUAGAAAGGGCGGAAUGAAGGGGGAAGACAGAGAGAAUGGAGAUGCCACUAUCCUGCAGCAACAGUGAGGUAAAAGUUAUAGGAAACAAAGAAGUAACCUUUUCUGGUACCUCAAUGCAUUGGACAUAGUUUUCAAAUCACUACGACAUGUGUGUGAAUUCUUCUGAGUUCUGUAAGGCUUUGUCCCCAGCUUUUGCCACAGGAAAGCUUCUUUGCAGUGACUCCAUCCCCUAUGCCCGUCCUUCUGGCAUCCUCGCUCCAUCCUAUGGUUGCUGUGGAGACGGCUCCAGCCCCUCAGGUCCUGUGUGUGCUGGAGGGACAUGGAGCCCUUCAGAUUUUGUAGGGUGAAGUGCCCUGAAGCCAAGGGAUUUUGCCCUGCCUGUCCUGCCCUCCUCUCUCUGCCAGCAUCAGCCUUGCCAAACUCUUCACCUAAGGCUGGCUUCCAGACAUGAGUAAGAAGAGAUGAGAUUUUGGGGCAAGGAAGACCCAGCUCGGAAACACACUUGUGAAUCUGGAUAUCUGUGUCUUAAAUAAUUUUGUGGUUUUUUUUCUUACUACUAAAUUCAUAUUCAUUGUGGAAGAUUUGGAAACUUUUGACAAGCCAAAAGAAGAAAGUAAAAAUCACUAGAUAAUCCUACCACCAAGAGACAGCCGCUGUUCAUAUUUUAGUUUACCAACUCACAUACGCAUUUUCCUACACAACUAACUCCCUAUUUAUGUGAUUGUCCACUUAGGACUUGUGAAUCUUUCCAUGUCAUUCACUUAAAAACAAGUAAACGUUGUAUUAUUAAAAUAGAGUUUAAGGCAAUAAACCAAAAUGUUAACAGUGAUUAACUCUGGAGGGGGGCAGAACUCUUAUGGUUUUUCUUUGCAUUUUAAAGCUUUUCAAGCUUUUAAAAUAGUAAAUGUAUAUUACUUUUUUUUUUUUUUUUUGUGACGGAGUCUCUCUCUGUCCCCCAGGCUGGAGUGCAGUGGCACGAUCUUGGCUCACUGCAAACUCCGCCUCCCAGGUUCACGCCAUU
rnacentral:lncRNA from 1 species